rnacentral:rRNA from 1 species
GUCGAACGGCAGCGGGUCCUUCGGGAUGCCGGCGAGUGGCGAACGGGUGAGUAAUGUAUCGGAACGUGCCCAGUAGCGGGGGAUAACUACGCGAAAGCGUGGCUAAUACCGCAUACGCCCUUAGGGGGAAAGGCGGGGAUCCUUCGGGACCUGUCACUAUUGGAGCGGCCGAUAUCGGAUUAGCUGGUUGGUGGGGUAAUGGCCUACCAAGGCGACGAUCCGUAGCUGGUUUGAGAGGACGACCAGCCACACUGGGACUGAGACACGGCCCAGACUCCUACGGGAGGCAGCAGUGGGGAAUUUUGGACAAUGGGGGCAACCCUGAUCCAGCCAUCCCGCGUGUGCGAUGAAGGCCUUCGGGUUGUAAAGCACUUUUGGCAGGGAAGAAAUUGCCUGGGUUAAUAGCCUGGGCCGAUGACGGUACCUGCAGAAUAAGCACCGGCUAACUACGUGCCAGCAGCCGCGGUAAUACGUAGGGUGCGAGCGUUAAUCGGAGUUACUGGGCGUAAAGCGUGCGCAGGCGGUUCGGAAAGAGAGAUGUGAAAUCCCAGGGCUCAACCUUGGAACUGCAUUUUUAACUACCGGGCUAGAGUGUGUCAGAGGGGGGUGGAAUUCCGCGUGUAGCAGUGAAAUGCGUAGAGAUGCGGAGGAACACCGAUGGCGAAGGCAGCCCCCUGGGAUAACACUGACGCUCAUGCACGAAAGCGUGGGUAGCAAACAGGAUUAGAUACCCUGGUAGUCCACGCCCUAAACGAUGUCAACUAGCUGUUGGGGCUUUCGGGCCUUGGUAGCGCAGCUAACGCGUGAAGUUGACCGCCU